rnacentral:lncRNA from 1 species
UCAUCAAUUUAUAUAUUAUAUAAAAAAGCUUUGGGUUGAGAUGACUUACCCAAAUUCUAAAUCCCAUGUAAAUACAUUAUUUUUAUAAUAAACACGAGGUUGUGCGUUGUCAUGUGAACAUGAGUCCAUUGAAGUACGAAUAAAGGCAAUGAAGGGAUUUAGUUCAAUAUUUCUCUUUUGAAGGUUUGUUCAUCUUAUCGACUAUUAUCAACUAUACUUAUCGUUCACGAUCUAUUUAGUAGUGCCAAAGUUUGUUGAAUUUGUCCAGUGAUGCUUACGUGUUGUUGCCCAGUCUGUCGAACCGGUUAUCCUGCUUUAAAAAUAGUGAAGAACAAUGUUCCUUUGGCUUCUCACCCCAAAGUAUCCCUCCAUCUUUUUUCAAAGGACGAGGAAUUGAAAAAGAAAUGGCUUCGGGUUAUACCAAGAGUGGAUUUUGUUCCCUUGAAGCAUUCUCGUAUCUGUAGCAGACAUUUCCACGAGUCAUACUUCCGCAAGGAGCGAAAAUACUUCAAAUCUACAAGAGCUAAAAAAUCAACAUCUUUUAAAAUUCCAAGGCUCAAACUGGAUGCACCGGCAUACUAAUCAAAAUUACCAGCUCCUCAGAGAUGAACUUCAUUAGCCACUUUUCAAAAAUGAGCUGAGAAAGAAAAGCAAGAGGAUAGAUAAAAGGAUGUCUCACUUUCUUGAGGAGGAUAUAAUCCAAAAAAGAUCUCGAUAAGUUAUGCUUGCCUCAGAAUAUUCACGAGACGUUCAACGAGGUUUGUCCCAAAUUUUUUGCGAUUUCGACUGUCGGCGUAAUACCCGAUGUCCUCCACGGUCUUCAAAUUCCAAGUGAUUUACCUUUAUUAUGUUUUUCCACGGCAAGCCUGUUUUACAGAGUGAAAUACGUCAUAUUUGUGGUUCAAAAACUAUACAAAGAUUCUCUGAUAUCAGCACUAUCCUUGCUUUCUUGAAGAACAAAUCCGGCAUAUCUCACCAGUCAAACAUAUUAAUGUCACUGAAACUAUUAGAGUAUAUCACUGAAGAGGAAGAAUUGGAGUAUAACGACCACAUAAUCUUCAUUAUUGAACAACUCCAGCUACACUUAAGUCCGCUAAAAGGGCGAAUAUAUUCGUCACGACUUCUGAGAAUAGCUUCUUUGUGGCAAAACACAAGCCUUGAGCUCUACAAUCAACUCUGUGAGUUAGGAGUGAUAAUUUUGCCUUCUAUCAAAUAUUUAAAGAAACUUUCUAGGGCCUUUAACAUUGAUGGUGGAAUUAACGUUUCGAUUAGUGAAUACCUCCGAAGAUGAAUAACAACUUUGCUACCCAAAGAUAAGAUCGUGUCUAUUAUCAUAGAUUAAGUUUAUUCUACUCAGAGGGUAGAAUUCAUUAGAGGGAAAAUUUAUGGUAGUCAAAAUAGCGGAUCAUUUAAAAAACAUUAUUAUGAUUCAUGAUCAAGAGUGUUCUUGGUCGAUAUAGUGAUAUGGUCACCAUGAUCCCUAUCACCAAAAUCAGCCCCACAAUUAUAAAGGAUUAUUUCAUUGAAGUUUUAAAACUUUUUACAAAAAUUGGAUUUGAAACAGUCGCUGUGAUUGUGGACGCUCAUUCAACAAACAGAAAAUUUUACCUUAAGGAGCUUGGGAAAGACACUUCAUCUUCCUUCAUCUGGAAUCCAUACUCGGCUGCUGAACCAAAAAUAUUUCUGCUCUUCGAUCCAGUUCACAUUUUCAAAAACUUAUACAAUAAUUUUGUUAACAAUAAAGUAUUAUCAUUUCCAUCCUAUGACGACGAGGGUUUUGACAUCCAUGGAGACUUUAAUCAUGUCAAGAAAAUAUUUGAGAUGGAGACUGGCAUUGGCUUAAAAUAUGUACAUAAACUAUUUCAUAAAGUUAUUGCUCCACAACCCAUUGAAAAAUGUAUCGUCAAUUUGUGUGUCAAAUUUUUCCACGAAUCAACUAUUAAUGCCCUGGAAUAUUACACAAAACAGGAAGAAGAAUAUCAGCCCAAUAGAGAAACUGCAAAAGUCUUGAAGAUAUUAAAAAGGUUCUGGAUUGUGUCAAUGUUUGUUCGACUUAUUUUCAUGUAUCCAAAAAGGAUUCUUCUUUAAAACCCAUUUCAGUAAAUGACAGAGAGCAAAUAGGUUUUUUUAAUUUCAUGUGCGGAAUGGCUUAAGAAAUGGGAAAUCAAUUGCAAGGCUACUGGUUUAUAUGGAUUGAAUCCGGAAACCUUUCAUGCAGCUUAUAAAACAUCAUUGGGUCUGGCUGAAUACCUUUUGAACGGACUAUAAUUAUCCGCAUAAAUCUUCUAAAUUCAUUUUAUACAAAAUUUAUGACAGUAUUUUAUUAAAAAAAAAUAGAUGCAAUCUGCAUGAAUCUUGUAAAAUUGGGAAAUUUGCUUGAAAAGAUGUCAAAGAGCAUAAGAAGCUUCUUUCAUCGAUUUCCUAGCAAAAAUGGAGAGGUUUGAAAGUAGUAAUUUAUGUAUUGUUUUGUAUAAUAAUAUUUAAAAAAAACUUUAUUAUACAAUAACUAUCAAAUACAACCGACAAGAAAUUUUAACAAUAUAUUAUAGUUUUUAAAAAUUCCAUUAUAAAAGUAUAAAAAAUAAUAAUCACUAUAUUAUACACAAAUUUCCUUAUUGGAUUAGGUUUUAAGGUUUAAAAUCAAAUAAUUAGAGAUUAUUUAUAACAUACUAUGUAAUUGUUAGGCUUAUAGUCGAAUUAAUAUAAUACUAACGUUUUUAAAAUGACAAUACGCUUUGUUUAAACUGGAAACUUGAAGAUGCAUAUUGAAGGUGUUCAUGAGAAAAUAAAUAAAAUCAAAUGUGA